UACGUAGGGUGCAAGCGUUGUCCGGAAUUAUUGGGCGUAAAGAGCUCGUAGGCGGUUUGUUGCGUCGGCUGUGAAAUCCCGAGGCUCAACCUCGGGUCUGCAGUCGAUACGAGCAAACUAGAGUGUUGCAGGGGAGACUGGAAUUCCUGGUGUAGCGGUGAAAUGCGCAGAUAUCAGGAGGAACACCGGUGGCGAAGGCGGGUCUCUGGGCAACAACUGACGUGAGACGCGAAAGCGUGGGGAGCGAACAGG
rnacentral:rRNA from 1 species